GGUAUUGAAAUAAGAUUUUAAAUGAGUGCUAAGAGAAUGAUUAAACAAUUAAAAACUUUCUUUAAUUAAAUAAUUAAAUUUAAUUUUUUUGGUGCGAAAGCAAAAAUAAAAUUUAGGGACAAGAAGACCCUAUGAAUUUUUAUUAUUAAUAUUUUGCAAUUAAAUUAUUAAUAAUUUAAUUGGGGUGAUAAAAAAAGAAUAAGUAUCUUUUUAAUUGUAAAAUAAGUUCCGUUUUUAGCGAUUAAAUGAAAAAAAUACUCUAGGGAUAACAGCGUAAUAAUUUUGGAUAGUUCAUAUAGAUAAAAUAGUUUGCGACCCCGAUGUUGGAUUAGGAUUC
rnacentral:rRNA from 1 species